rnacentral:rRNA from 1 species
GACGAACGCUGGCGGCGUGCUUAACACAUGCAAGUCGAACGGGGAUGAUGGGGCUUGCUCUGUCGGAUCAGUGGCGAACGGGUGAGUAACACGUGAGUAACCUGCCCCAGACUCUGGGAUAACCCCGGGAAACCGGAGCUAAUACCGGAUAUGGCCCUUGUGCGCAUGUGCGGGGGUGGAAAGUUUUUCGGUUUGGGAUGGGCUCGCGGCCGAUCAGCUUGUUGGUGAGGUAGGGGCUCACCAAGGCGCCGACGGGUAGCCGGCCUGAGAGGGCGACCGGCCACACUGGGACUGGGACACGGCCCAGACUCCUACGGGAGGCAGCAGUGGGGAAUAUUGCACAAUGGGCGAAAGCCUGAUGCAGCGACGCCGCGUGAGGGAUGACGGCCUUCGGGUUGUAAACCUCUUUCAGCAGGGAAGAAGCGCAAGUGACGGUACCUGCAGAAGAAGCACCGGCUAACUACGUGCCAGCCGCCGCAGUAA